UCAAGAAACUUCCACAAUGGGCGAAAGCCUGAUGGAGCGACGUCGCGUGAUGGACGAAGUGCUUCGGCACGUAAACAUCUUUUAUGUGGGAUGAAAUUAUUGACAGUACCACAUGAAUAAGGGGCUCCUAACUCUGUGCCAGCAGGAGCGGUAAUACAGAGGCCCCAAGCGUUAUCCGGAAUCACUGGGCGUAAAGGGUGUCGAGGCGGUUGUAUUAGUCGUUCGUAAAAUCUACGAGCUUAACUUGUAGGCGGCGAACGAAACGGUACGACUUGAGGUUUGGAGAGGUGCGUGGAACUCACGGUGUAGGGGUGAAAUCCGUUGAUAUCGUGGGGAACACCAAAGGCGAAGGCAGUGCACUGGUACAUUCCUGACUCUGAGAUGCGAAAGCGUGGGGAGCAAACAGGAUUAGAUACCCUUGUAGUCCCUGAGCGGGCUGGCAAGGCGCAU
rnacentral:rRNA from 1 species